rnacentral:sRNA from 1 species
CCACCACUGGUCCGUUCGGAUCCAUCAAACAGAUGUGCAGCGUGUCUUGUCUACGGAAAACAUAUAGCAAUUCUUCCAUUUCAUGAGAAUUCGAAAAGAAUUCAUAGUUAUGUUAUUCCACUGAAACAAAUCGAUCCACGGCUGGAUAAUAUUGCUGAUAUGGUAUUUUUGGAUGGAUAUUAUGAGCCGACAAUUUUAUUCCUUUAUGAACCAAUUCAAACUACUCCUGGAAGGUAAAAAUUGAUUUUAUUUUUGAAUUCAGCUCGCCGAGAGCUUUAAAAUAAGUAUAAUCAUGACCAGGUUCUGGUGAUUUUGGGUCCCGUCACGAAAACUACAGUAACCUUCGUGGCGGGACCCAAAAUUUCAAACUUAAUGGAGCCUAGUCAUGAUUAUACUUAUUUUAAAGCUCUCGGUGAGGUGAUUCUAUAUUACAAUAUUAAAAUGUUGAAUUCCGAAAUUUAAUACAAAUUUCUGGGUCUCGACGCGAAAUUUUCAAAAAAUUGAUUUUCCAAAAUUGUUUUAGAAAAUUGAAAAAUUCAGGUUUUAUCUGAAUUCAGCUCACCGAAAGCUUUGAUUUGAGUAUAAUCAUGACUAGGUUACGUUGAUUUUAAAAAAUUUUGGGUCUCGCCACGAAGGUUACUGUAGCUUCGUGGUGGGACAUGAAAAUUGGCUGAAAAUUGAGCAGUUCUGGCCUGAAAUUAGCGAAAACUACGAAAAAUUUGAAUUAUUUUGGCUCGUCAAUACUUGCAAUCGAUUAUUUCUUAGUUUUUCGGGUACCGCCACGAAGCUACAGUAACCUGCGUGGUGGGACCCGAAAUUUCAAAACUAAUGGAAUAUAGUCAUGAUUAUACUUAAAUGAAAGCUCCCAGGCGAGCUGAAUUCGAAUUUUUUAGUUUAAAAAACCCAAAAAAAAAAUUGAAUUUCAGAGCCUGCGUCCGUUACGAUACAAUGUGCAUAAUGGGUGUCUCCGUGAACAUUGUCGAUCGUCAAUUUGCAGUCGUCUGGCAAACUGCAAAUCUUCCAAUGGACUGCUCCCAACUGCUCCCAAUCCCAAAACCACUCGGCGGAGCCCUGGUUUUUGGCUCGAAUACAGUAGUCUAUCUGAAUCAGGCGGUACCGCCGUGUGGUCUCGUGCUCAAUUCAUGUUAUGAUGGAUUUACGAAAUUCCCGUUAAAAGAUUUGAAACAUUUGAAAAUGACGUUGGAUUGCUCUACAAGUGUCUAUAUGGAAGAUGGACGAAUUGCUGUCGGCAGCCGCGACGGAGAUUUGUUCUUGUUGCGGUUGAUGACGUCAUCCGGUGGUGGAACUGUCAAAUCGCUGGAGUUUAGCAAAGUUUAUGGUGUGGAAUUGGAUUUUCUAGAUUAAAAUUGAAAAAAUAAACGGAAAAAUUAGCUAAAAAUUGAGUAGUUGUAGAUUAAAAUUUGAAAAAAAUGCACAAAAAUAUUCAAGCUUUUGCUGAAAAAUUUUUCGCUGAAAAUUGGAAUUUCUAGAUUAAAAUUGGCGAAAAACACAAAAAAAAAUCAAAUUUUAGCUGAAAAAUUGGCAAAAAAACACGAAAAUAUUCAAUUUUAACUGAAAAAUUAGCGGAAAACUGAGUAUUUUUAGAUUAAAAUUUGAAAAAAAUGUCCAAAAAUAUUUCAAUUUUUGCUGAAAAUUGAGAUUUUCUAGAUUAAAAUUGGAAAGAUACACAGAAAAAUCAAUUUUAGCUGAAAAAUUGGCACAAAAACACAAAAAAUUCAAUUUUAACUGAAAAAUUAGCUAAAAAUUGAGAAUUUGUAGGUUAAAUUUGGAAAAAAUGCACAAAAAAAUACCAAUUUUUGCUGAAAAUUGGGAAUUUCUAGAUUAAAAUUGGAAAGGUACACAGAAAAAUCAAAUUUUAGCUGAAAAAUUAGCGGAAAAUUGAGAAUUUUUAGAUUCAAAUUUGAAAAAAAUGCACAAAAAAUUAAAAUGAGCUGAAAAUUUGCUGAAAACUUGGCAAAAAACACAAGAAAUUUGAAUUUAGCUGAAAAUUGUUCUGAAAAUUGGUUAUUUCUAGAUUAAAAUUGGCGAAAAACACAAAAAAAUCAAAUUUUGCUAAAAAAAAAUUGUUCAAAUUUAGGAAUUUCUAGGUUGAAGUUGACAAAGUGCCAAUUUUUCGAUACUUUUCUAGACAAAAACCGAAAAAUCCAGAUUUUUACUAAUAAAUUCGGAUUUAGCUCUCUGAGAGCUUUAAUUUAAGUAUAAUCAUGACUUGGUUACGUUGAUUUUGAAAAAUUUUGGGUCUCGCCACGAAGGUUACUGUAGCUUCGUGGUGGGACAUGAAAAUUGGCUGAAAAUUGAGCAGUUCUGGCCUGAAAUUAGCGAAAACUACGAAAAAUUUGAAUUAUUUUGGCUCGGUGGGACCCGAAAUUUCAAAACUAAUGGAAUAUAGUCAUGAUUAUACUUAAAUGAAAGCUCUAGGCGAGCUGAAUUCGAAUUUUAAGAUGAAAAUAUGAGAACUAUGAAUAUUUUCAAUAAUGUACUGAAAAACUCCAUUUUUUUAAUCGAAAAAAUUGCAGAAACCUCAAUUGCCUACUCGCUAACAGUGUGUGCUCCUGGUCACCUAUUCGUUGGCUCACGGCUCGGAGAUUCUCAACUUUUGGAGUAUACUCUACUAAAAACCACUCGAGAUUGUGCUGUAAAACGUCUAAAAAUCGAUAAUAAAGAUCCGGCGGCGGCGGAAAUUGAAUUGGAUGAAGAUGAUAUGGAAUUGUAUGGUGGAGCAAUUGAAGAGCAACAAAAUGAUGAUGAUGAGCAAAUUGAUGAGUCACUGCAGUUUCGAGAGCUUGAUAGGCUUCGGAAUGUUGGACCGGUGAAAUCAAUGUGUGUUGGAAGGCCAAAUUAUAUGAGUAAUGAUCUUGUUGAUGCGAAGAGACGGGAUCCUGUUUUUGAUUUGG